rnacentral:rRNA from 1 species
GCCUAACACAUGCAAGUCGAGCGCACCUUCGGGUGAGCGGCGGACGGGUGAGUAACGCGUAGGAAUCUACCUAGUAGAAGGGGAUAGCCCGAGGAAACUCGGAUUAAUACCGUAUACCUCCUCCGGGAGAAAGAAGGCCUCUCUUUGAAGCUUUCGCUACUAGAUGAGCCUGCGUAAGAUUAGCUUGUUGGUGAGGUAAAGGCUCACCAAGGCUACGAUCUUUAGCGGGUCUGAGAGGACGAUC